rnacentral:rRNA from 1 species
UACGUAGGGUGCGAGCGUUAAUCGGAUUUACUGGGCGUAAAGCGUGCGCAGGCGGUUUGUUAAGCCAGAUGUGAAAGCCCCGGGCUCAACCUGGGAACCGCAUUUCGAACUGGCAAACUAGAGUCUUGUAGAGGGGGGUAGAAUUCCGGGUGUAGCGGUGAAAUGCGUAGAGAUCUGGAGGAAUACCGGUGGCGAAGGCGGCCCCCUGGGCCUGUACUGACGCUCAUGCACGAAAGCGUGGGGAGCAAACAGG